GUCCCUCUCUGGCCCAGAAGGCUUCCGGGAUAUUCACAUAUUCUGAAUCGCCCCCAAGUGCCAAAGUUGGGGAAGGAGGAGGAUAACAUGUUCCCGAGGAGGGACCUCUGACCCAGCUGCCUGGUCCAGAGCCCAUCACAUCACAGCCUCCUUGAGCUUAAGAGCAUUAGACGGCAUUUGAGCACUAUGCCUGGGAGCCAAUUCAAACAGUGAAACCACCAACAGAAAGCACAAAAGUGUGAAACACACAGCACUAAAUAGACCGUGAAGAUGGCACGUUCAUGGUGUGAGAGCUGAAACCAGGAGGUGGAAAGUUGCCUAGUUUGACAUCAGCCGGGAAGCAGCAUGCGGAGCAAUGCCUGUGACCCAGAUUACUGCCACCCAUUUUAUGGAUGAAGAAACUAUGGUUGAGUGGAUGCCCAAGGCCAUGCUGCUACAGUGUAUUUGAGCUGGGAUCCAAGCUCCUGGUUACACGCUUCCAACCACAAAUCCAUACAACUCAUCUGUUCUAUUUCUUCUGGCUGGAACAACUUUCUCUCCUCUAGCUGCCUGGAAAACUCCUACCUGGCCUUCAAAACUCAGAUCCAAUGCCUCCUCCUCUGUGAAGCCUUCUCUGAUCCCACUCCAGACAGUUUCAUCUGCUUGGUACCCAGAGCAUCAUGCAUAUGUCUUUACUACAUUGCUCAUCAAUCUAUUCUGAAAUGAUAUGAACAAUACUCAUUUCCCCCCUCAAACUCUAAAUUCUAUUAUCACAGAGCUAAGUUUUCUUACUCCUUUACAUCAUUGACUGACACUGGAAAAUGCUGCCAAUGAAGCAGCCCAUUCCAUUUUUGCUUGGAUUUCACUGUUAGAAAGUUCUUUGUUAGGGUGAACCACACAGCUGGCCUCACUAACAUCCACCUCCUGGGAGGAGGAAGCAGUUGGUUCUACCAUCUUCCUCUCAUAGAAGCUCUUCAGAUGCUGAGCACACCUGUCACCUGUCCCAAGGGGCGUCCCUGAUCAUGUCCUGUGUUGUCCCCAGCCAUUUCCUAUAGAACUUCCCACUCUCUUCCCUCUAAACACAAAGAGCUUUUCCCUUUAACUCCUUAUUUGUCAUUGGUAUCAUGAAGGAGACUAUGGGGUCCACAGAAGCUGGGACAUUCCCUGGGUGAGUCUCCUCUGAAUGUCUUAUGUCCAGCCCAGCAUGUGACUCAUUUUGUUGAAUAUGUGGGUGAAUGGUUGGUUGAGGUCUUGAAUGUGAUAGAAAAAUCAGGAUGGUGAAUAAUUAAAGAUAGGUUUAAGGGCCAUCUGAGUGAGAAUGGCAGCCUUAGGGCAAAAAUUUCCAGUGACACCCUCAAUAGAAUCUUCUUUAAAUGUCCAGUCUUGCUGCUUCACUAACUACUCACAGAUGGGAAUGGACAUUAUUUCUGUCCUGCGUUGUCCAUUGUUGGAGUAGUGGGUGGUUCACGGUAUUUCAGGGCAAUCUGGGUUUGUCUGGGGGCUUAGAGUUUGCCAAGGCAGUUGAAUAUUCCUGAUUUAAGUUUGCAGCUCCUUUAGUCUGUGAUCGUCUUUCUUUCUUUCUUUCUUUUUUUUUUUUUGAAGAUUGGCACCUGAGCUAACAUCUGUUGGUAAUCUUCUUUUGUUUCUCUUCUCCCCAAAGCCCCCCGUACAUAGUUGUAUAUUCUAGUUGUAGGGCCUUCUGGCUCUGCUACAUGGGACACUGCCUCAGCAUGGCUUGAUGAGUGGUGCUAGGUCCGCGCACAAGGUCCAAACUGGUGAAACCCUGGGCCACUGAAGAAGAGCACGUGAGCUUAACCACUCAGCCAUGGGGCUGACCACUGUGGCCAUCUUUCUUCUCCACCUUAUUCACUCAGGCAGUAUUUACAGAGACAUUCUUCUAGGCCUAGUGUCUUGCCUUAGUCCAUGAAACUGAGUCAAACUACCCACGCCACUACCUUCCCAUCCAAUGCAACAAAGUCACCAGUAAUAUCUGAACUCUUUGACAGCUGUCCCCCCAACUAACUCUAGUCCAUUUGAUUCCAAACCUGCUGCCACCCAGGUGCCUAUGCCUCACACUCCCUAGACUCACAGUCUGAAUUGACAGAUUGACUCCAGUUCUGGCACAUCAUAAAUCUCUCUUUGCUCCAGAUUUUCCUCCAGGCAUUUGGACUCAGGCCCUCCUCUCUCUUCCCUUAAUUGGUUUGUUGCUUCAGCUCCGUCAUCACCUAUUUCUCCUCCCAGUCUGUUUGGAGUCUCACCUCUGCUUUGGACCUAGACCAUUGGGAUGAU
rnacentral:lncRNA from 1 species